UACGUAGGGGGCUAGCGUUGUCCGGAAUCAUUGGGCGUAAAGAGCGUGUAGGCGGCCCGGUAAGUCCGCUGUGAAAGUCGGGGGGCUCAACCCUCGAAUGCCGGUGGAUACUGUCGGGCUAGAGUCCGGAAGAGGCGAGUGGAAUUCCUGGUGUAGCGGUGGAAUGCGCAGAUAUCAGGAGGAACACCAACGGCGAAGGCAGCUCGCUGGGACGGUACUGACACUGAGGCGCGAAAGCGUGGGGGAGCGAACAGG
rnacentral:rRNA from 1 species